AUUGGGGGGAAUGAAGCCUGGUCCGACGACACUAACAUAAGGCCGUUGAUCCGAUGAGCUUGUUGGUGGCCUCGAGCCAGACAACAUUCCCCUCAAA
rnacentral:pre_miRNA from 1 species